rnacentral:lncRNA from 1 species
CCUUGCCAUAGAUCACAUUCUUGGAUUUCUGGUGGAGACCAUUUCUUGGUCAAAAAUCCGAAUGUGUUAGCCUUCGGUAUUAUUGAAAAUGGUCGUUCAUGGCUAUUUUUGACAAAAUGGGGGUUGUGUGGCCAUUGAUCAUCGACCAGAGGCUCAUACACCUCACUGCACAUAUGUUUCCUUGCCAUAGAUCACAUUCUUGGAUUUAUGGUGGAGACCAUUUCUUGGUCAAAAAUCCGUAGGUGUUAGCCUUCGGUAUUAUUGAAAAUGGUCGUUCAUGGCUAUUUUUGACAAAAAUGGGGGUUGUGUGGCCAUUGAUCAUCGACCAGAGGCUCGUACACCUCACCUCACAUAUGUUUCCUUGCCAUAGAUCACAUUAUCGGAUUUCUGGUGGAGACCAUUUCUUGGUCGAAAAUCCAUACGUGUUAGCCUUCGGUAUUAUUGAAAAUGGUCGUUGAUCACUAUUUUCGACAAAAAUGGGCGUUGUGUGGCCAUUGAUCAUUGGCCAGAGGCCCAUACACCUCACCCCACAUAUGUUUCCUUGCCAUAGAUCACAUUCUUGGAUUUAUGGUGGAGACCAUUUCUUGGUCAAAAAUCCGUAGGUGUUAGCCUUCAGUGUCAUUGAAAAUGGUCGUUCAUGGCUAUUUUCGACAAAAAUGGGGGUUGUGUGGCCAUUGAUCAUCGACCAGAGGCUCGUACACCUCACCUCAUGUUGGGGACUUGUUCUCAAAUGCUAAGAGUUAAGAACAAGGCAACAUAAAAAGUGUUAAAUGUUAAAGUCCUUCGUCCUUCAAAACAUUAUGUCCCUUCGGAUAUAAUGAAUUCCGGACGAAGGUUAUGAAGGAAAAACCCUUCGCAAGCUCGAUAGAUGAUAAGAAAGAAUUCAUACAUGAAAUACGAAUAAUAAUACAGAUAUUAUCAUCAACUCAUUUUUAUUUGCAUUAUCAUAUUUGUAAUAACAAAUUAUAAAUGUACCUUCGAAUUGACGGAAAGCAAAGGUACAAGCGUGAUGUAAAAAGCGAAUGCCAAGUCAGCCUGAACAGUACGGGAGUACUGUUCAUCUAUUUAUAGGCGCGGGACGCAGCCCGUGUAGAAUUACAUUAAUGCCCUUUACAUUUAUCAAUAACUCUAUAAUAAUUCUUCGAGGUCUAAUUUGGCUUUUCAUCUUUAAGUCGGUUCCUCUUUUCUGCCGUCAUGCCGAAGCUUUUCUGCGCAUAGCUUCGUGAUCAUCUUAUCCUUCGUCAUGAUCGCCUUCCGUCCCACUCAAGCUUCGUCUUGACCAGACACUUGUAUACCCAUAAUCUGACGUCCGAAGAUACCUGUUCACAUAUUUCACUUGGAAAACAUUGUCAAAUCAUGUUUUUGAGGACCUUCGGAAGCCGAAGGCCCCCAACAGUAGCCCCUCGCAAUAUUAAUUUUGCUGGAAUGAUAAAUUCAUAUUGCGACAUGGACGAAGGCUUUAAGCCGAAGGUCCGAAAAAACACCUUCCCUUUGCUAGAAUAGCAACAGUCUUUGACAAGCGGGACCCUCCAGUUUUCGACGCACUGGGUGUAUAAAUAAAAGCUCAACACGAUUUUAUUUGGCACGCUCUCUUGCCAUCUGCUCUUGCUCACCCGACUUUUAGCCUGUGCGCAACAACUAUUGCUUGGCUUUUUUAGACUUUUAAGCUUCGGUUCUGGGAGCACUUUCUCAGCGUUUGCGAAGAUGUCUGAAGAUAAGAAAGCUGUUGCUGAAUCAAAGCUGAGCCUUUCUGAGGAGAUGCAUCUCGGCUUUCUUCAGUCAAUAGCAAAGACCAAUACGGAGAAGAUCACUAGGGAGACCUUGGAGGGUUUAUCUGAAGAUACUGGUGUGACAGUUAUGAAGUAGAAAGUGGGGGUGAAGACUCCGAAGAUCGACCGUGGCGACCAAGUCACACAGUCUUCGGAAAAUCGAGCAUUAAACAGAGUCAUCUUGAUACCAUGAAGGGAAGGUAUUUUCGAGACAUGUCUAUUGUGAGGGCAGAUGAUGGGGAGAAGACUGUGCCUACUCCCGAAGAGAAUGAAGUCGUAAUCUUCCGAAGCUUCUUGAAGGCUGGACUGCGAUUUCCCUUGAGCAAUUUUGUCGUGGAAGUACUGAAGAUAUUUGAAGUCUACUUUCACCAACUUACUCCCGAAUCAAUCAUAAGAAUGGGCAUUUUCGUCUGGGCCGUGAGGAGCCAAGGUUUAGAACCAAAUGCAAAAAGUUUCUGCAAUAUACAUGAGUUAUUGUACGAGACGAAACCUUGGGGUAAAGAGCAGUAUCACAACAAUUUUGGCUGCUACAGCUUCGGCGCCCGAUUUGGGUCAAGCUGUCCCGUGCCAACCUUUCGGAAAAGAUGGCCCGACAACUGGAUGACAGAAUGGUUUUAUGUGAAGAAUGAUUUAAAAACUCGGGAAGAUAUUAAAGGUAUCAUUAUGCGCCCUAUUUGGCAACGCUUCGGCCUUCGGAGGCCGAAGGUGGAGAUGGAUGAAACAGCCGAAGAAUGCCAAAGAGCCUUCGGCGCAGUGUGCUCUUUUAUUGGGACAAGGGAUUUAAUGCAAGAACACAUUGCCUUCAGAGUAUGGCCACUUGCAGAUAACUGGGAAAUGCCGAAGGAAACCGUCAAGGAACCUGAUGAAGGUGGACUAGUCAGGCUAAAAUACACAUUCAAGUACGGAGAUAAGUUCGUUGAGCCAGAUGAUGACUGGUUGAAAAGUAUUGAGGCCAUAAGCGAUGAAUUGCUUGGAUUAUACUCAAAAGCCGAAGACACUGCACUGUCAGCAGCCUUCGGAGGCCGAAAGAAGAAGAGACUCAAUCGAGUAUUUGAUGCAAUUGGGUUUGUCUACCCUGACUAUCGCUAUCCAACGCGGGGUCAAAAAAGAAAGAAUACACCUUCUGCGAAGGAAGUUGCUUCGGCCGCUCCUAGCGAGCCGGCGCCGAAGAGAAAAAGGGUCAAGGUUCUCACACACCGGCCACGCUAUAUUGAACUGGCCACAGUGCCUGAAUAUGUCGGUGAAACCUCUGCGGCCACCGAAGCCAAGGAGCCUACUCUCCUACCGAAUGUUGAAGAGCCAAUUAUAAUACCGGAAAUGAAGAAAAUAGAAGAACCGGAGGCUACGGAAACAAGGACACAUGAAAUUUUAAGUCCUUUAGCAAAAAUUGAGGCAGCAAAAAGCCAAAAGGGUCCAGCAGUGACCCCCAAAAGAAAAAGGAUGGUUAAUGUGCUGGAUGUUUUGGAGACAAUUAAGUCUUCAAGUAUGACUCCGAAGAAAAUUGUUGAAACUUCCGAAGUGCACACUGAAACCUUUGCUGCCGAAGCUUCAAAGAACCAGGCAGAAACUGAAGCUGGGCCUUCAGAGCCCGCCAAGGUGAAAUCCUUGGAAGCUGAAGAAACAGAAAUAUCAGAGCCAAUUUUGGUUGAAGAAACUGGUGCUGCUGCCCCCGAAGCAUCCUCCAAAGCCCUCGAUUAUAUUGUACGACAUGCUUCGGGAAAAAGAUUAUCUGAAGAAGAGAUUUUUGAAGCUAAUCACUAUGCCCGAGAACUGAAGUAUCCAAAGGGGGCCUUAGUAUUCAAUGGCACAGACGAAGAUGACUUCUUAUACUGCCUCCCAGACAACAAAGAAUUAUCUGUCUGCCGGGAGAUGGCUAGAAGUAUGGGGUUCCCGAAGCUUGAAGCUGGCCUCUGCGCGAUGACGAAGGACGAUCUUGCAGAUAGCCUCGCAUAUAAUAGUCUGAAGGUAUGAAAAUUGUAUAUUUGGAAGCUUAUAAAUUUUGAAUUAUCCUUUUAUUCUUAUACUAAUUCUUUUCAUAUAGGGUUUAAUUCUUAGCAACGCUUUGAGAGCGCAAAAGAAUGCCGAAGACGAGAGCUAUAAUAUCGCUUUCAACAACCUACGAACAGAGGUUAUUAAGCUGAGGAACGAAGCUUUGGAAAAAGAUAAAAUUCUGCUUACAUUGGUGGAUAAGAUAAAGGAAGACGAAGCUACUUCUAAAGCUCAAGCUGAGGCUCAAAAGCGCGAAAUUGAGGAUCUUCGGAAACAGCUAGCCAGAGCUAAAGAAGAACGCACACUUGAAGAGACGAAACGAGAACUUAGUGAUCAGUGGGCAAAUCAUUUAGAAAGAAACGUUGAAGAGCUUCGUGCAUCCAAGAAAAGGUGCUAUGACAAAUCUAUAGAAUGUGCUAAGAAAAUAAAAUCCAGCUUCGCCAGCGUUGGCGCAUUCUCGAGCAAAGAAAACUUCACAAGGGACAACCCCGAAGGCCCGAUUGAAUGGAUUAGUCACGAAGCUGAGGCCUUUGAGGAAAUUUUGAAUAGCCGCGGAGACAUAUGUGCCUUUUCGGGUGCCAGGGGGAUUGCUACUAUUUUGGAGAGGAAAGGCUGUGAGCAUGUGAAAUUUUUGGCACAAUUCGAAACUGCCUUAUCCUCCGAAGAUAUAAAAGACCCCUCGGCCGAAGCAAGCCUGGUCGGUGGAAAAUUUUUCACCGACGUCUGGGACAAUGGUGGCGGGAAAUGGCCCAAGAAAUUAUUCAAAAAAGCGAAAAAGGCAUCCAUGAUGCUAGAAAAGUAGCAGAGGCCGCUGAGAAAAGCGCAGAGCCCGAAGGGCAAAUAGGUAUUAAUUAGUGGUUUUUGACUCUUCGUUGUAAUUUUUUGAUUUCGAACUUGUUCACGGUUUGUAAUAGUAAUAUAUCCGUAUCUUCUCUUCCCUCAGAACCUGCUGAGCUAUCUCCGGGCCCCCACACGAAGGGGGAUGACGAAAUUAGACAAAUGGCCGAAGCCAUAAUGGAUAAAGUUGUUGAUCAGCUACUAAACGAAGCUGCAGAAGUAGUCCUAAGGGAAGAUUAGAUGCUGUUGUAAAAACAUUUAGAAUGUAAUGUUUGUUGAGAAUCAUGUGUAAUAUUGUGCAACUUUGGAUGUAAUAUAUUAGCUGUUUAUAAUUCUAUUUUUUACGAUGCAUGAAACAUCAUAUACAUACCGUUUUUGAGCCUUCGGCGAAAAAACACCUUCCCUUCUUUUCAUGCUUCGUAAAAAUCAGUAAUCAAUCCUCGUAAAAUCAAUAAUCAAUAGAUCCUUCCAUUUCAGAGUUUGACGAAGGUAUAACUUUUCAAUGGCUAUUUUUGUGCCUUGUCACUAUUUCUUCAAAACAAUCUUCGAAUAUCAAUAUCGAGACCCCCCUUCUUGCGUUGUUGAUGCACUAUGAUGUAUGAUGUUAUGCUAUGCAAAUGAUGUAAUGAUGUGAUGUUGUGCAAAAUGAUAUUUGCCGAAGGUUGACAUUUAUUUUUCACUGUAAGCCUCCCUUAGGAGCUUCUUCGCCUUUUACUUCAGCGGAAUCAGCGUUUAUUUUUCGCUGUAAGCCUCCCUUAGGAGCUUCUUCGCCUUUUACUUUCAGCGGAAUCAGCGCUUAUUUUUCGCUGUAAGCCUCCCUUAGGAGCUUCUUCGCCUUUUACUUUCAGCGGAAUCAGCGUUUAUUUUUCACUGUAAGCCUCCCUUAGGAGCUUCUUCGCCUUUUACUUUCAGCGGAAUCAGCGUUUAUUUUUCGCUGUAAGCUCUGCAUUCCCUUCGGAACGACUUUUGAGCAGAAAACUUACACUGCGCUCCCUUAGGAACGACUUUUUGCUGCUUCGAAGAAAUUGCACUGCGUUCCUUAGAACAAAUUUUUGAUAAUUCGAAGGUCCUCCGUGCCACCAUAAAUUCUUAUGCUUCGGCAACUCAAGCCUAUGGAGAAGAUAUAUUUUCAUUAUGGUAAAAAGCGAAACUGUUACAAGAGAUUGAAAAACGAUAAAAAACACUUAAACUUCCCAUAAUUGUUCCUUAUUAAAAAGAAAGUAAUACUGAAUGCGAAAAUGCGAAAAGCUGCUGUCGAGGUAGGAUAUUUGUCAGUAAAUGUGCUUCGACUCUGGCACAGUGCUAUUGACUGUGCGAGCUUCGGACUCUUCUCUGAAGUCCCGCUGGAGGUGAGUGUGCUGACUCCCUUCUGGCUGCUGACCUCGUUGUGUUGGUGAUUGCCUACAUAUUCUGGAAUGUAAGGCGAAUGGUACGAAGCAGUAUGCAUGACCUGCUUCGGCUGACUCUGUUGUGCUGCAGCUUCUGCUAUCUCCUUUUGCUUCUGGAUGGUAACAUGGCACAUCCUGGUGGUAUGGCCCUUGUCUUCACCACAGAAUAAGCAGUAAAUUUUCUUGGUUGAUCCCCAAAUCUUCCCCCGAAGCCCCUGGCGCCUCUGCCCCUUGGCGCUGGCGGUCGGAAAGAACUUUGCUGCUGCCCCGAAGCUUGCGAGGAGUACUGUGGCCUUUGCUGUUGACUCCCUCUAUCAUCACUUUGAGUAGAAUUGUGAAUUGACCUGACGUGCCUCGGAUGGAAUCUUCCUCCGAAGCCCCUGGUCAUUUCAGAGAACCUGAAUGCUUCCUCCCUUCUUUGGCGAAAGUCAUUGUCAGCUCGAAUAUACUCGUCCAUCUUCUGGAGCAGCUUCUCCAAAGUUUGAGGAGGCUUCCUGGCAAAGUAUUGAGCUGAAGGUCCCGGCCGAAGUCCCUUAAUCAUGGCCUCAAUGACAAUUUCAUUGGGCACUGUUGGUGCCUGUGCCCUCAGACGCAGGAACCUUCGGACAUACGCCUGAAGGUAUUCUUCGUGGUCCUGGGUGCACUGGAAUAAAGCUUGAGCAGUGACCGGCUUCGUCUGAAACCCUUGGAAGCUAGUUAUCAACAUGUCCUUCAGCUUUUGCCAUGAGGUGAUUGUUCCUGGCCGAAGAGAGGAGUACCAGGUUUGUGCAACACUCUUGACGGCCAUGACAAAAGACUUUGCCAUGACUGCAGUAUUGCCACCAUACGAAGAUAUGGUUGCUUCAUAGCUCAUCAAGAAUUGCUUCGGGUCUGAAUGACCGUCGUACAUGGGGAGCUGGGGUGGCUUGUAAGACUGGGGCCAUGGUGUAGCCUGCAGUUCUGUUGACAGAGGAGAAGCAUCAUCAAAAGCAAAAUUUCCAUGAUGGAAAUCUUCAUACCAGUCGUCCUCGUUGUAGAAGCCCUCCUGAUGAAGCUCUCUGCGCGGAGGCCUUCGGUCAGCUAGACGAGCCAUCUUUUCCUUCUUUCGUUGAACCUGUUGGUGGAGCAUCUCCAAGUUUUGGAUUUCUUGAUCCAAGUCAUCCUCCGGAGGCGUUGGACUGGUGGCCUUCCUCUUCUGGCUUCGGGCCUCCCUAAGAGAAAGGACAUCCUGAUUGGGAUCCAGCGGCUGUAGAGUGGCAGCCCCUGUGGCUGAAGCUUUCUUCGGCGGCAUGACGAAGGUGAUGCUUGCCGAAGGUGUUCAAAACUCAAAAAAUGGACGUGAGUUCACCGGAGGUGGGCGCCAAUGUUGGGGACUUGUUCUCAAAUGCUAAGAGUUAAGAACAAGGCAACAUAAAAAGUGUUAAAUGUUAAAGUCCUUCGUCCUUCAAAACAUUAUGUCCCUUCGGAUAUAAUGAAUUCCGGACGAAGGUUAUGAAGGAAAAACCCUUCGCAAGCUCGAUAGAUGAUAAGAAAGAAUUCAUACAUGAAAUACGAAUAAUAAUACAGAUAUUAUCAUCAACUCAUUUUUAUUUGCAUUAUCAUAUUUGUAAUAACAAAUUAUAAAUGUACCUUCGAAUUGACGGAAAGCAAAGGUACAAGCGUGAUGUAAAAAGCGAAUGCCAAGUCAGCCUGAACAGUACGGGAGUACUGUUCAUCUAUUUAUAGGCGCGGGACGCAGCCCGUGUAGAAUUACAUUAAUGCCCUUUACAUUUAUCAAUAACUCUAUAAUAAUUCUUCGAGGUCUAAUUUGGCUUUUCAUCUUUAAGUCGGUUCCUCUUUUCUGCCGUCAUGCCGAAGCUUUUCUGCGCAUAGCUUCGUGAUCAUCUUAUCCUUCGUCAUGAUCGCCUUCCGUCCCACUCAAGCUUCGUCUUGACCAGACACUUGUAUACCCAUAAUCUGACGUCCGAAGAUACCUGUUCACAUAUUUCACUUGGAAAACAUUGUCAAAUCAUGUUUUUGAGGACCUUCGGAAGCCGAAGGCCCCCAACACCUCACAUAUGUUUCCUUGCCAUAGAUCACAUUCUUGGAUUUAUGGUGGAGACCAUUUCUUGGUCAAAAAUCCGUAGGUGUUAGCCUUCCGUGUCAUUGAAAAUGGUCGUUCAUGGCUAUUUUCGACAAAAAUGGGGGUUGUGUGGCCAUUGAUCAUCGACCAGAGGCUCGUACACUUUACCCCACAUAUGUUUUCUUGCCAUUGAUCACAUUCUUGGAUUUCUGGUGGAGACCAUUUCAUGGUCAAAAAUCCGUACGUGUUAGCCUUCGGUAUUAUUGAAAAUGGUCAUUCAUGGCUAUUUUCGACAAAAAUGGGGGUUGUGUGGCCAUUGAUCAUUGACCAGAGGCUCAUAAACCUCACCCCACAUAUGUUUCCUUGCCAUAGAUAACAUUCUUUUAUUUCUGGUGGAGACCAUUUCUUAGUCAAAAAUCCGAAUGUGUUAGCCUUCGGUACUAUUGAAAAUGGUCGUUCAUGGCUAUCUUCGACAAAAAUAAGGGUUGUGUGGCCAUUGAUAUUCGACCAGAGGCUCAUACACCUCACUACAAAUAUGUUUCCUUGCCAUAGAUCACAUUCUUGGAUUUAUGGUGGAGACCAUUUCUUGGUCAAAAAUCUGUGAGUGUUAGCCUUCAACGUCAUUGAAAAUGGUCGUUCAUGGCUAUUUUCGACAAAAAUGGGGGUUGUGUGGCCAUUGAUCAUCGACCAGAGGCUCGUACACCUCACCCCACAUAUGUUUCCUUGCCAUAGAUCACAUUCUUGGAUUUCUGGUGGAGACCAUUUCUUGGGCAAAAAUCUGAAUGUGUUAGCCUUCGGUAUUAUUGAAAAUGGUCAUUCAUGGCUAUUUUCGAGAAAAAUGGGGGUUGUUUGGCCAUUGAUCUUCGACCAGAGGCUCAUACACCUCACUACACAUAUGUUUCCUUGCCAUAGAUCACAUUCUUGGAUUUAUGGUGGAGACCAUUUCUUGGUCAAAAUUCCGGAGGUGUUAGCCUUCAGUGUCAUUGAAAAUGGUCGUUCAUGGCUAUUUUCGACAAAAAUGGGGGUUGUGUGGCCAUUGAUCAUCGACCAGAGGCUCGUACACCUCACCCCACAUAUGUUUCCUUGCCAUAGAUCACAUUCUUGGAUUUCUGGUGGAGACCAUUUCUUGGUCAAAAAUCCAUACGUGUUAGCCUUCUGUAUUAUUGAAAAUGGUCGUUGAUCGCUAUUUUAGACAAAAAUGGGCGUUGUGUGGCCAUUGAUCAUCGACCAGAGGCCCAUACACCUCACCCCACAUAUGUUUCCUUGCCAUAGAUCACAUUCUUGGAUUUAUGGUGGAGACCAAUUCUUGGUCAAAAAUCCGUAGGUGUUAGCCUUCAGUGUCAUUGAAAAUGGUCGUUCAUGGCUAUUUUCGACAAAAAUGGGGGUUGUGUGGCCAUUGAUCAUCGACCAGAGGCUCGUACACCUCACCCCACAUAUGUUUCCUUGCCAUAGAUCACAUUUUGGAUUUCUGGUGGAGAACAUUUCUUGGUCAAAAAUCCGUAGGUGUUAGCCUUCGGUAUUAUUGAAAAUGGUCGUUCAUGGCUAUUUUCGACAAAAAUGGGGGUUGUGUGGCCAUUGAUCAUCGACCAGAGGCUCAUACACCUCACCCCACGUAUGUUUCCUUGCCAUAGAUCACAUUCUUGGAUUUCUGGUGGAGACCAUUUCUUGGUCAAAAAUCCGUAGGUGUUAGCCUUCGGUAUUAUUGAAAAUGGUCGUUCAUGGCUAUUUUCGUCUAAAAUGGGGGUUGUGUGGCCAUUGAUCAUCGACCAGAGGCUCGUACACUUUACCCCACAUAUGUUUUCUUGCCAUUGAUCACAUUCUUGGAUUUCUGGUGGAGACCAUUUCUUGGUCAAAAAUCCGUACGUGUUAGCCUUCGGUAUUAUUGAAAAUGGUCAUUCAUGGCUAUUUUCGACAAAAAUGGGGGUUGUGUGGCCAUUGAUCAUUGACCAGAGGCUCAUAAACCUCACCCCACAUAUGUUUCCUUGCCAUAGAUCACAUUCUUUGAUUUCUGGUGGAGACCAUUUCUUAGUCAAAAAUCCGAAUGUGUUAGCCUUCGGUACUAUUGAAAAUGGUCGUUCAUGGCUAUCUUCGACAAAAAUAAGGGUUGUGUGGCCAUUGAUAUUCGACCAGAGGCUCAUACACCUCACUACAAAUAUGUUUCCUUGCCAUAGAUCACAUUCUUGGAUUUAUGGUGGAGACCAUUUCUUGGUCAAAAAUCUGUGAGUGUUAGCCUUCAACGUCAUUGAAAAUGGUCGUUCAUGGCUAUUUUCGACAAAAAUGGGGGUUGUGUGGCCAUUGAUCAUCGACCAGAGGCUCGUACACCUCACCCCACAUAUGUUUCCUUGCCAUAGAUCACAUUCUUGGAUUUCUGGUGGAGAACAUUUCUUGGUCAAAAAUCCGUAGGUGUUAGCCUUCGGUAUUAUUGAAAAUGGUCGUUCAUGGCUAUUUUCGACAAAAAUGGGGGUUGUGUGGCCAUUGAUCAUCGACCAGAGGCUCAUACACCUCACCCCACGUAUGUUUCCUUGCCAUAGAUCACAUUCUUGGAUUUCUGGUGGAGACCAUUUCUUGGUCAAAAAUCCGUAGGUGUUAGCCUUCGGUAUUAUUGAAAAUGGUCGUUCAUGGCUAUUUUCGUCUAAAAUGGGGGUUGUGUGGCCAUUGAUCAUCGACCAGAGGCUCGUACACUUACCCCACAUAUGUUUCUUGCCAUGAUCACAUUCUUGGAUUUCUGGUGGAGACCAUUUCUUGGUCAAAAAUCCGUACGUGUUAGCCUUCGUAUUAUUGAAAAUGGUCAUUCAUGGCUAUUUUCGACAAAAAUGGGGGUUGUGUGGCCAUUGAUCAUCGACCAGAGGCUCAUAACCUCACCCCACAUAUGUUUCCUUGCCAUAGAUCACAUUCUUGAUUUCUGGUGGAGACCAUUUCUUGUCAAAAAUCCGAUGUGUUAGCCUUCGGUACUAUUGAAAAUGGUCGUUCAUGGCUAUUUCGACAAAAAUGGGGUUGUGUGGCCAUUGAUAUCGACCAGAGGCUCAUACACCUCACCACAUAUGUUUCCUUGCCAUAGAUCACAUUCUUGGAUUUAUGGUGGAGACCAUUUCUUGGUCAAAAAUCUGUAGUGUUAGCCUUCAGUCAUUGAAAAUGGUCGUUCAUGGCUAUUUUCGACAAAAAUGGGGGUUGUGUGGCCAUUGAUCAUCGACCAGAGGCUCGUACACCUCACCCCACAUAUGUUUCCUUGCCAUAGAUCACAUUCUUGGAUUUCUGGUGGAGACCAUUUCUUGGUCAAAAAUCCGAAGUGUUAGCCUUCGGUAUUAUUGAAAAUGGUCGUUCAUGGCUAUUUUCGACAAAAAUGGGGGUUGUGUGGCCAUUGAUCAUUCGACCAGAGGCUCAUACACCUCACACACAUAUGUUUCCUUGCCAUAGAUCACAUUCUUGGAUUUAUGGUGGAGACCAUUUCUUGGUCAAAAAUCCGUAGGUGUUAGCCUUCAGUUAUUGAAAAUGGUCGUUCAUGGCUAUUUUCGACAAAAAUGGGGGUUGUGUGGCCAUUGAUCAUCGACCAGAGGCUCGUACACCUCACCCCACAUAUGUUUCCUUGCCAUAGAUCACAUUCUUGGAUUUCUGGUGGAGACCAUUUCUUGGUCAAAAAUCCGUAGUGUUAGCCUUCGUAUUAUUGAAAAUGGUCGUUCAUGGCUAUUUUCGACAAAAAUGGGGUUGUGUGGCCAUUGAUCAUCGACCAGAGGCUCAUACACCUCACCCCACAUAUGUUUCCUUGCCAUAGAUCACAUUCUUGGAUUUAUGGUGGAGACCAUUUCUUGGUCAAAAAUCCGUAGGUGUUAGCCUUCGAUAUUAUUGAAAAUGGUCGUUCAUGGCUAUUUUCGACAAAAAUGGGGGUUGUGUGGCCAUUGAUCAUCGACCAGAGGCUCGUACACCUCACCCCACA